CACAACACAUAUUCUUUAUUUCAUCGAAUAAGAUAACAAAAUUCAGAGUAUUAAUUACACGGUGGAAAAGCAAAUAGAACACCGAUGAGUCCAUCAACGCCACAGGCUUGUUGAGUAUAGACCCACGACCCUGCGUAACCUUUCUUCAUACGUCGACAUCUGCACAUGACACGUGCAGGUCAGUACAUUGAAUGUACUUGCAAGUUACACCUGCAAUGUUAGGAGCAAUGCAAAUAUAUGCUUAAGGAUAGUUCCUAGUUAGGCUUCUAAGGUUUAUUUUGCAAAAACAUCGUGUUUGGAUUUUUGAAGUACUCGUAAUACUUUUUUCCUUUGUAAACUCUACUUCUACAUUUUAUGGAACAUAGUUUUGAAAUAUAGUUAUGGUCAUCUGUGGAUACUGUCCCACUAACCUAGCUAUGCAAUCUGGGUCAUACUGCUGACCCUCACAUAGCAUCCCUUUCUUUCGGUGACCUGGAUUCCGCUCCAUCUGGUCAAAACAGUUUUUAGGAUUUUGAAAACAAAACUAGAAGAUCUCCUCAUAUCCAGACUUAGUAGCUCAAAAUUCGCUCGUAACCAGAGGCAUGGCUAAUCGAUUAGAUCGACACUCUCGAGAGGUUUGUACACUUUCCCCAGUUGACACAAUCAGUCCAAGGUGUUGCCUGAUGACAAGCGUGUGCAUCAGGUAAAGAUUGUGACGAAGUCUUUCACUAGUCCUAGCACCGCCCGCCCCCAAUGGACACAUUGGCCCCUUUCCGGAUGACGGUACCAAAGCAAGGGUUUCUCGCUAGCUAUUCAACUAAGCCAGAGCCCAUAAUAGCAAGUGGUUGUACGGUAAGCCUUUGGGUGCAUGGAAAGACUUGAACUUUUUGGUACUGAACGGCGGUCCCCACAGAAAUCCUGAGCAUCUGCAGAGACAAUAAAUGGAUGCUGCCCUUGUAGAAAUCCUGAGCAUCUGCAGAGCCAAUCACUGGAUGCUGCCCUUGUAGACAACCAAUCACUGGCCACUGACAUUCCACUCCGUCCAGUUAAAACAUUUUUUGUUUUAUUUCACAAAUACUUCUCCAAAACAUACUGGCUCAUAGAUAAUUAAUCCUACAAGUGCAUUCUUAUAGUUUAUAAAGCAAAGUAGCAUAUGCCAAAAAUAUAGGAUUUUAGAUGAUCAAAAGUGUAACUUGCCUUGGCCUUAGUGUAGAUCAACUUCUUCAUGGUAACCAGGACAAUCGCACUCCGAAUAAUCUACCGUGAAGAACGAAUAACUAAAUGAAUACAUCGUUCGGUAACUCCAAAUAAAAAUCCAAUAAGCAAAUAUAUUAACAGUAAUUAACAGAGUACCUAAACAGUGUAUAUGAACUGUUAGGCUAAUCCUUGGUUUAGACCUAACAAGCAGGAAAAGAUGUGGUUUCAAAAGGAGUUGAAAUGGUCAAGUCAUUGGUUUAUAACAGAUACAAUAUUCUACGGAUGAAAGGAUAUUGUAUAUGAACAAGAAAAGAUGUGGAAAUUAAUCUGAAUUGUAUAGUGUGGUGCAAGCUUCGUAAAAAAAACAAGAAUAAUCCAAUUUGGAUCUGUGGAUCAAAAGAUGUGGGAUUUGGAAAAUGGCUAAUCAUUGUGAUAGUGUUAACAGAUAUCAAGUAUGGUUGAUCAUGCACUGAUGGGGUUGUGUCGGUAAAUGUGCAUGAAGUGGACUAGCCUGUGGAACUUGAUAUACUCUACGGUCUACAGUAAGUGGCACACUAAAAGGAGGUACGGGCAGAAUUGACUGACUUACGAAAGACAGCUACUCCAAAACAGUGGGCUGGGAAUACAAAUUUCUAAUGAUGUAAUUCCCUAUUGUGUUGGGAAUUGUGAACAAUGGAUGAACAGAAAAUGGAAACUAUGCUACAGUACAGUACUAUCUUGGUGAUGCCAAUCCCAUUUGGAAUCAUCUCAAACGGAUCAAAGGUGCAGUAGCCAAGGACAGAUGAACAUGGCUUGGGAGGAACUUACAGAAUAUAGUAGGUACCUUCAAAUGAAUAUCUUCUGGUGAAGUUGGAUCUAAUCGACAGAGACCUAAUUAGUUGAAAUGUAGAGGGUAACGAUUUCUUCAAAACCCCACUGGAUUCAUCUAAUUUGGAGCUCUGGUUCACAAGAUAAAGGUUCUGGAAGAUACCUAAUCAAUACAAAGGUACUGUGGAUAGACUUUUCCAGAGAGGAUGCGCUAGGGAGGAUGAAUGUGAUCAUGUGCAAAACGCGAUCUAAGUUGUAGAGCUUGAUGUGUUAAACAGCAUACAGAAAUAAUUGGCUAAACAGGACCUACGGUUCAAAAGAUUCAAGCUACGGAAUUUGGCUAGUCAAUACUGCUGCUGCCGCUGAGAGUUCUCACCGGAGACAUAGGAGUUUGCCGGAGUUGAAGGACACGGCGAGGGAGUCGUCGGAGGAGUCGAUGAUGUCGUUGAAGAAAUCCGGGAGGUCACGGUGAAUUCCAGUCCAGGGAGUCGGUUCCAGUCUUCGGGGCGUCUCCAGACGGCUACGACGGGCGGAGCUCCGACCGUGGUUCCGGCAUGGCGUCAGGGAAAAUGCGUCCAAAGGACUCCAUGGCUCGCACAGCCUUGUCAAAGAUACACAGGGGAAUUACAAGAGUCUCCCGGUCCAAGGAAUCGAGAAACGGAGCUUCGGAGCGAGCUCACCUUCAACAGUGAAGGCGACGGACGGCAGAGGAAGACGGCCAUGGCACGGGAUGUACAGGGAUUUAUAGACAAAACUUUCAACAGGAGAGUCAGGGAGGAUGGGCAGGCACACAGUGUGACGCGGUAGGGGUCUCCUUUUAUAGGCCGAGGAGGGAGAUCGACGGGUGGAUGCCGAGGACCGGCAUUCGGUGCGCGUCGGUUUCACAUGGCAAUAAAGGGUCGAAACUGAUGAUACAUUCACGGAAUCGGUUCGUGGAGAGACAUGUAUUAACUUCCAUGUCUUAAUUCGGAGAGAAACCGUCGUUUGGAGGGGAUUCGAUGGUGGUUUUCAUGGCAGAAGGUGCGUGCGUGCUGUGUUCAGGAAUGAACGGAG
rnacentral:lncRNA from 1 species